GAUGAACGCUGGCGGCGUGCCUAAUACAUGCAAGUCGAGCGAACAGACGAGGAGCUUGCUCCUCUGACGUUAGCGGCGGACGGGUGAGUAACACGUGGAUAACCUACCUAUAAGACUGGGAUAACUUCGGGAAACCGGAGCUAAUACCGGAUAAUAUAUUGAACCGCAUGGUUCAAUAGUGAAAGACGGUUUUGCUGUCACUUAUAGAUGGAUCCGCGCCGCAUUAGCUAGUUGGUAAGGUAACGGCUUACCAAGGCAACGAUGCGUAGCCGACCUGAGAGAGUGAUCGGCCACACUGGAACUGAGACACGGUCCAGACUCCUACGGGAGGCAGCAGUAGGGAAUCUUCCGCAAUGGGCGAAAGCUUGACGGAGCAACGCCGCGUGAGUGAUGAAGGUCUUCGGAUCGUAAAACUCUGUUAUUAGGGAAGAACAAAUGUGUAAGUAACUAUGCACGUCUUGACGGUACCUAAUGAGAAAGCCACGGCUAACUACGUG
rnacentral:rRNA from 1 species